rnacentral:rRNA from 1 species
UACGGGGGGGGCGAGCGUUGUUCGGAAUCACUGGGCGUAAAGGGCGCGUAGGCGGCCCGCACAAGUCUGCGGUGAAAACCCCCGGCUUAACCGGGGGCCGGCCGUGGAAACUGUCGGGCUGGAGGCUGGGAGAGGGCAGCGGAAUCCCGGUGUAGCGGUGAAAUGCGUAGAGAUCGGGAGGAACACCGGCGGCGAAGGCGGCUGCCUGGACCAGUCCUGACGCUGAGGCGCGAAAGCUAGGGGAGCAAACAGGG